UGUACUGAAAAGUCUCGACCACCUUAAAAAAAUAAUUCAACUUGAGCUCCCAAAUUCUCAAAAUCGGCCCUGACAAUGAGCAAUUGGUGAAGAUGACUAAUGCAAUCAGUGAGUGAAAUUAAGUCAAUCUUCAAACCGAUUUCUAUCAUGCUUAUAUAGAUGUAUCAGGGUAGAGGAAUGUGUAAAAUUCAUAUUCAUAUGAAUCACAACAUGCUUAUGAAUAUGUACAAUUGUUAUGAGUAUUUUUAAAAUUUAAUUGUUGCCUCACGACUAUGGCAUCAAUUAUAUGACGAUUUCUUAUAUGUUCACGAGCUUUUUAAAGUUUAAAAUGCUAUAAAUCUGUGGUUCCGUGAGAAUGAAUGAAAUAAAAUCAAUAGUAAUUAUAAGUAUAUAACCAGUCGCAAUUAUAAGUAUAAUGUUUCAGGUCAUUGACAAAAGAUGAAAAUUCUCAUUUAUAUUAUUUGUCAUUUGGGUUCACAGGUCUUGUCAGCUUCUAGCUUAAGAGCUCUUGGGUCUGAUGGUGAAGUAGAAGGGAUUCAUUAAGUUGUGGCCUUAGACAAUGAUUAAGGAACAAGAAUCACAUACGAGGAUGAUUUAUUGCUUGUAGUCUGGUAGAUAAGGGGAGCUUGCACUGGAAGGAGCUCAUUAUUUGACAACAAGGGAGCUCGUAAGUCUCAGGGAGCAGCAGCUUGUGGAUUGUGAUCAUGAGGAAGUGAGAGGCUUGUCUUGUUAAGCUUUCUUGAAUAAGAGCUAAAGCUGCUAGUAUAUGCUUUUGCUUUUGAAAUAUGGGAAAAUUUCACAAACAGUACACCAAAUAAAGGUCACUAAUAAUUCUUAUACAUAAAUUUCUAAACCAAGCAUUUCGGUACACGAAACCUGAAACUCGACUCACUAUCAGUAUACGACGUCAAUGACGCCGUUAAUUUGAGGGGUAAUAUGGUCUUU